rnacentral:rRNA from 1 species
AGAGUUUGAUCCUGGCUCAGAACGAACGCUGGCGGCGUGGAUAAGACAUGCAAGUCGAGCGAGAUUUUUCGUUGUAGCAAUACGAUGGAAAGUCUAGCGGCGAACGGGUGCUUAACACGUGGGCAACCUGCCAUGAAGUGGGGGAUAGCUCGCCGAAAGGCGAAUUAAUACCGCAUGUGAUUAGAGAGGACAUCCUUUCGAAAUUAAAGUCGGGGCAACCUGACGCUUCUUGUGGGGCCCGCGGCCUAUCAGCUAGUUGGUGAGGUAACGGCUCACCAAGGCUUUGACGGGUAGCUGGUCUGAGAGGACGACCAGCCACACUGGGACUGAGACACGGCCCAGACACCUACGGGUGGCAGCAGUCGAGAAUUCUUGACAAUGGGGGAAACCCUGAUCGAGCGACGCCGCGUGGAGGAUGAAGGUCUUCGGAUUGUAAACUCCUGUCAUUUGGGAACAAGGUGCACACGUAAC